rnacentral:rRNA from 1 species
CGGGGUGAGGAAUACAUCGGAAUCUACCUUGUCGUGGGGGAUAACGUAGGGAAACUUACGCUAAUACCGCAUACGAACUAUGGUUGAAAGCGGCGGACCGCAAGGCGUCGCGCGAUUGGAUGAGCCGAUGUCCGAUUAGCUAGUUGGCGGGGUAAAGGCCCACCAAGGCGACGAUCGGUAGCUGGUCUGAGAGGAUGAUCAGCCACACUGGAACUGAGACACGGUCCAG